rnacentral:rRNA from 1 species
UACGAAGGGAGCUAGCGUUGUUCGGAAUCACUGGGCGUAAAGCGCACGUAGGCGGAUGUGUCAGUCAGGGGUGAAAUCCCGGAGCUCAACUUCGGAACUGCCUUUGAUACAGCACGUCUUGAGUCCGAUAGAGGUGGGUGGAAUUCCUAGUGUAGAGGUGAAAUUCGUAGAUAUUAGGAAGAACACCGGUGGCGAAGGCGGCCCACUGGAUCGGUACUGACGCUGAGGUGCGAAAGCUAGGGGAGCAAACAGG